AUCUUUGGAUGAUUGGCAGCCCCAGAGUUGUAUGAUUUUUAAUAUAAUACGCCACGCAAGAAAUGGGAACUAUUCUCAGUCGCGGAUGAAUAUCGCUCGAUGACGUCUCUAGUAUAAAUUAUCCUGUCCCCCUGGCAACUGCAAGUCAUAGGAAGGGUUUUUGACAGCAAUAUAACAAUUGUUAACUGUAACAUGCAGAUCUUCGUCAAGACCCUCACUGGCAAGACCAUCACCCUGGAGGUGGAGCCCAGCGACACCAUUGAGUAACGUGAAGGCCAAGAUCCAGGACAAGGAAGGCAUCCCCCCCC